rnacentral:misc_RNA from 1 species
UACAGAGACCUCAAGCGUUAUCCGGUAUUAUUGGGCGUAAAGCGUCCGCAGGUGGUUUAAAAAGUCUUUGGUCAAAUCUUGGGGCUUAACUCCAAGACUGCUAAGGAUACUAGUAAACUCGAGGCUGGAAGAGGCAAGCGGAACUGCCGGUGUAGUCGUAAUAAGCGUUGAUAUCGGCAGGAACACCAGAGGCGAAGGCGGCUUGCUAGUACAUGCCUGACACUCAUGGACGAAAGCGUGGGUAGCGAAUGGG